rnacentral:rRNA from 1 species
GAUGAACGCUAGCGGCAGGCUUAAUACAUGCAAGUCGAGGGGUAGCAAGAUUGUAGCAAUACAGUUGUUGACGACCGGCAAACGGGUGCGGAACACGUACACAACCUUCCUACAAGUGGGGAAUAGCCCAGAGAAAUUUGGAUUAAUACCCCGUAACAUAGCGAUGUGGCAUCACAUUGCUAUUAUAGCUUCGGCGCUUGUUGAUGGGUGUGCGGCUGAUUAGAUAGUUGGCGGGGUAACGGCCCACCAAGUCUACGAUCAGUAGCUGAUGUGAGAGCAUGAUCAGCGGCACGUGCACUGAGAAACGGGCCCGACUCCUACGGGAGGCAGCAGUGAGGAAUAUUGGACAAUGGACGCAAGUCCGAUCCAGCCAUGCCGCGUGAAGGAUUAAGGUCCUCUGGAUUGUAAACUUCUUUUAUAAGGGACGAAAAAAGGUCUUUCUAGAUCGUCUGACGGUACCUUAUGAAUAAGCACCGGCUAACUCCGUGCCAGCCGCCGCAGUAAAAC